GCCGCGUGUGUGAAGAAGGCCUUCGGGUUGUAAAGCACUUUCGGCCGGAACGAAAUCGCGCGGGUCAAUAUCCCGCGUGGAUGACGGUACCGGAAGAAGAAGCACCGGCUAACUACGUGCCAGCAGCCGCGGUAAUACGUAGGGUGCGAGCGUUAAUCGGAAUUACUGGGCGUAAAGGGUGCGCAGGCGGCCCCGCAUGUCAGGCGUGAAAUCCCCGGGCUUAACCUGGGAAUGGCGCUUGAAACUACGGGGCUGGAGUAUGGCAGAGGGAGGUGGAAUUCCACGUGUAGCGGUGAAAUGCGUAGAGAUGUGGAGGAACACCGAUGGCGAAGGCAGCCUCCUGGGCCAAUACUGACGCUCAUGCACGAAAGCGUGGGGAGCAAACAGGAUUAGAUACCCUGGUAGUCCACGCCCUAAACGAUGAUGACUAGUUGUUGGAGGAGUUAAAUCCUUUAGUAACGCAGCUAACGCGAGAAGUCAUCCGCCUGGGGAGUACGGUCGCAAGAUUAAAACUCAAAGG
rnacentral:rRNA from 1 species